rnacentral:pre_miRNA from 1 species
UUUUAUGGAUGAGCAAAGAAAAUAGUCUUUCGAGAUGAAAGCUACUCCUGGUGAAGAUGCUGUGAA